rnacentral:tRNA from 1 species
GGGGGGUUCGGCACGGGCACGCCAAGCCGCCUUGAACGCGGUGGGUCCCGAGGGGACCUGGGGGUUCGACUCCCUCACCCUCCG